rnacentral:rRNA from 2 species
AUAAGCAAUUAUACAGCGAAACUGCGAAUGGCUCAUUAUAUAAGUUAUCGUUUAUUUGAUAGUACCUUACUACUUGGAUAACCGUGGUAAUUCUAGAGCUAAUACAUGCUAAAAAUCCCGACUUCGGAAGGGAUGUAUUUAUUAGAUUAAAAACCAAUGCCCUUCGGGGCUCCUUGGUGAUUCAUGAUAACUAUUCGAAUCGCAUGGCCUUGCGCCGGCGAUGGUUCAUUCAAAUUUCUUCCCUAUCAACUUUCGAUGUUUGGGUAUUGGCCAAACAUGGUUGCAACGGGUAACGGAGGGUUAGGGCUCGACCCCGGAGAAGGAGCCUGAGAAACGGCUACUACAUCCAAGGAAGGCAGCAGGCGCGCAAAUUACCCAAUCCCGACUCGGGGAGGUAGUGACAAUAAAUACUGAUACAGGGCUCUUUUGGGUCUUGUAAUUGGAAUGAGUACAAUUUAAAUCUCUUAACGAGGAACAAUUGGAGGGCAAGUCUGGUGCCAGCAGCCGCGGUAAUUCCAGCU